CCUACGGGAGGCAGCAGUAGGGAAUCUUUCACAAUGGGCGAAAGCCUGAUGGAGCAACGCCGCGUGCAGGAUGAAGGCCUUCGGGUUGUAAACUGCUUUUAUAAGCGAGAAAUAUGAUGGUAACUUAUGAAUAAGGAUCGGCUAACUACGUGCCAGCCGCCGCGGUCAUACGUAGGAUCCGAGCAUUAUCCGGAGUGACUGGGUGUAAAGAGUUGCGUAGGUGGCAUAAUAAGUAGCUAGUGAAAUCUGGUGGCUCAACCAUUCAGACUAUUAGCUAAACUGUUAAGCUCGAGAACGUUAGGGGUAACUGGAAUUUCUAGUGUAGGAGUGAAAUCCGUAGAUAUUAGAAAGAACACCAAUAGCGUAGGCAGGUUACUAGAACGGUUCUGACACUAAGGCACGAAAGCGUAGGGAGCAAACGGGAUUAGAUACCCCAGUAGUC
rnacentral:rRNA from 1 species